rnacentral:tRNA from 1 species
UCAAUGGUGGUUCAGUGGUAGAAUUCUUGCCUUCUGGGUGGGACACCCAGGUUCAGUUCCUGGCCGAUGCA